rnacentral:tRNA from 1 species
GCCGUGAUGGCUCAGUGGUAGAGCAAGUACUUGGUAAGUACUAGGUCGGGAGUUCGAU